ACCCUCCCUCACUCUGCUCUGAAAGGUUACACACCCUCCCUCACUCUGCUCUGAAAGGUUACACACCCUCCCUCACUCUGCUCUGAAAGGUUACACACCCUCCCUCACCCUGCUCUGCUCUGAAAGGUUACACACCCUCCCUCACUCUGCUCUGAAAGGUUACACACCCUCCCUCACCCUGCUCUGCU